CCAUCAUUGGUUGUCUUCGUGGCAGGUUUCAACACACAGAAAUUUGGUGGCUUGGCAGAGAGAGAGUUCACAACACGUGUUUGAGCUGAAAAGGGAGAGUCAGGGGGACUCUCAAGAAAGCGGUCGGUCGGAUUCGUUGGGAAUUUGGAGGUGACGAAUGGUCAGAAAUGAGACUACCUAGAAGAUAGCUGUCAUUACGUGGGCCAUGGGAAGAAGUCUCAGGAAGGCCUGAGAAGGGCUGUUUUGACUUCAAGUGGCAAGAUUCUUAGGAAGAAUCCUUUGCAAAAGGAAAUCUGGACACAUUUCCAGUGCUGCUUGGGCUUGUGCGAGAGGAAAGAUAUCAGCACCCCUCAAAUCUUAGCAUAAACCACCUCAAGACCUGCGGGACCAAACUGAACAGUAUUUCCUCUCUUUCAACGCAUGUGUAUGAGAGGGCGAGAGACCCUUUUUUUCUGAUCUUCUGCUCAGCCCAAGCACUUGGCUUUGAGAAAAGAGGAAGAACUCUGUGAGGGGCAGAUCGUACACUCAAGAUGAGGUUUCCUGAUCUGCCCCUCCUGAGUUCUGGCUUCUGGGACAAGAAGUGUCUGGCCUUGCGUGGAAAAGCAAGGGCCCCUUUGCUGCAAUUUUCAGCUGCCUACAAGUGUGACCGAGUUUUUCCUCAUUUAACAUUCAUCAAAAGCAGGGACAGAAAUGGUCUCACUUCAGCUGAGAAUAAAAUCUGUGUGCUUAUCACAAGUUUGACCAAGAACUGAGUAUUUUUGCACUAAGAACAAUAACACACAGAUCACAUUUCAAAGAUGAGGAAACGGAAACUCAGAGGUGUGAGUUGACUUGCCUCGGGCCCCAGUUGGCAGAGACAAGACUGGAAGGGAAGUCUGACGCGAUCCCAUCCAGGACGCCAAGGACUUGGGGCUAUCUAUAGUCGUAGGCACACUAUGUUGCUGGUGCUUUUUAAAUGGGAAAUGUCGGGAGAGGUAUGCCUUCUGAAUGUUCAAUAACAAGUGAGUUAAGUUGGGUGACUAAGCCUAUUGCAGAGUCUGAACAUGAGAUGAAAUCUGCAUGUGGGUAACAGUGGGACUGAAGAGGAAGCAACUGGCACUUUCAAGUGUUGAGUCAAGAUGUCCUAUGAGCAAGAUUUGGAGCACAGUGAAAGAGACAUCUUCCAAAGGAACAGAGUAGAGAUUGUUCCUGAAGGGUUUGAACAGCAUAAGCCUGAGGCAGAAAACAUAUGCUAUUGAAAAAUGGAUGUCUUUCUUUUGGAACUAAUGCUAGUGUUGGAUUUAUUCCCUCUUAUAAUUUACCUACCACCUGAAGGGAAAUUACCUUUUAUGAUGGUCGGAGGGGCACCUAGCUGUCUCAGCCUGUAGAGCAUGUGACUCUAAAUCUCAGGGUCGUGAGUUCAAGCCUCACAUUGGGCAUGGAGCCUACUUAAAAAAAAAAAAAAAAAAAGAAAGAAA